rfam:Nicotiana attenuata strain TT chromosome 9, whole genome shotgun sequence.
ACUCUCGUAGCUUAAUUGGUUAGAGCGUCCACUUAGUAAGUGGAGGUUUUGAGUUUGACUCUCAACAAAAAUA